rnacentral:lncRNA from 1 species
AUGCUGUUCAAAAGCCUUUCCUCACCCUUGCUGAUUUGUUUUUAUGAUUUACAUACACUCCUGUGGAGAUUUACAGAAUGGAUUGUCUGUGCAUUGUCACGACCAAGAGUUUCUUCUAAACCUGGUGGUUCCCAUGCGAUUUGUGGUUGGGAUAAAGGCCUACUGUAUAGAGGAUGCUUCCUAGUACAGCACUCAUAAUUAUACAUGUAUGUUCUGUGGCCUUUUUCUUGCACCAUAGUUUCAUGCUGGUGAGACCAUUUUCUUCCACCUGGAUGCACGAGAUACAAAGCUAAGAGUCAAUGGCAUAGCUAGGUUCAUAAUUCUACAUUAGGUUGAUGGGGGAGCCUGAAUCUUUCCUGAGUUGAGGCCAAAGAACUCUAAUUCCUGCCUGAAACAUCCCCACAAAGCCUCACUUUUUCUACCCAAUGGAGACAUUGGUGACACAAUGUCUCCAAGCAUAUCAUCAGCUAUCUGCUCAUAUGAAAUACAUUUAAAUCAAAAGUUGGUCUAAUAUAUCACAAAUAUUUAGGUAUGCCAAUCUCCACAGUAUCUUUUUUUUUUUUUUUUUUUUUUUUUUUAACGUGCCUCUGAACAUAAUUACAGCUUACCUUUUCAGCCUGUUUAACAGAGACAUUUGGUUGUGAUGAUAUGGCAUUUUUAUUCUGAAGUAAAGCCUUCCAGGGCUAGCAAUACAUGUAUAAUGUUCUUAGUUAAGAGGCCCUAAGAACGAAAUGUUAGUGUGCUGAUAAACAAACAGUUUUGUUUGGGUACAGCCAGGUGUUAAAUUUAUCCUGUUCAUUCAUUCCCUGCUUCAUUAGUGUUGAGAUAAACAAUGUUUUGGUGGUUUCAUUCAUUUCUUUUACUAUUUCAUCAAGGUGGUAAAUUGAAAAUAUUCAUUAUAAUUGCAUUGCACAAAAUUUGCAUUUUUACAAUAUUUGAAUUGUAAGUAUUUGUACUUUUCUUAAACACAUUAUAAGAACUCCCAAUUCUCCUACCUCUAAAAGACAUAUAGGUUCAUUAUCAUUACCUUGCUGAUGUACAAGAAAUGUCUUCCUGUAGUUUCAUUCCAGAGUAAAUCUCCUGAACUUGUUUGUGCAGACUGUAUUUUAAAAUGAGAAAUUCAGGCAAAUACAUUCAAGUCUAUUUUCUCAGAGGUACGCAAAAGAAGUUUCAAGCGUCAACAACCCAGUCGAACCAGCAUUGAAAUAUGUGUGUUUGCAAAUAAACUUCUCGUACUGAUUCCAGAGGCAAUGAAUCGAUGUCUGAGAAAAUAUUAGACUAUAAUAGACUAUAUAUAAUAGACUGUAUUAGACUAUAUUAGAUUAAUCGAUGACUGAGACACACUAGACUGUAAGUUCACUUGAAUAGACAGGCAGUGUCAGAUAAAAUUGAUCAACUUCGUGCUAUGAAAAAGUUAAUGUGCUUGCACAUGGAAAUUCAGUCUGGGAAAUGUUAUCAUCUAUUCUACAUACUCUGCUGAUGAGAUUUGUUGUUGGCAUGCAGCAAUUAAACUUCAUUACAAUAGGUUUAAUUUCUAAAUGAAACCUAGAUUCAUGUAUGGAGUCCAAACACUUGUGCAUAACUAGGAUUCUUCAUGUGCUGUUAAGUUUCAAACUGUUUUUGGUGAAAGCUUGCCAGUAUGGCCAAUGUUGAUUGCCUCUGAAGCAAACAUCUAAGGCUUCAUUUGAUUGCACGUGCAUGUCUGCUCAAUAUUUUCUAAGGUGCUCUAGCAUGCUCAUGUCCUACACAAAUCUGGUAAGUCUUAUGACCUGUGCCUUUUUGUGUGGCACUUACAAG